rnacentral:lncRNA from 1 species
CAUCACCCCCAUCAGGCCUGUUCAUGUAGACUCUACACUGCAGACUGCAGGGAUGAAACUCUGUAUCCAAGAACCUACCAAUAAAGACCCCUGUGAAACGGCUGGCAAACAGGCAGAUUCAUCACCCACUGAGCUAUAAGGGAAGCCCUGUUUUGACCACAUUCAAGUGGAC